AGAGUUUGAUCAUGGCUCAGAAUCAACGCUGGCGGCGUGCCUAACACAUGCAAGUCGCACGAGAAAGGGUAGCAAUACCUGAGUAAAGUGGCGCACGGGUGAGUAACACGUGACUAAUCUACCCUCGAGUGGGGAAUAACCUAGAGAAAUCUGGGCUAAUACCGCAUAACACUUACGAGUCAAAGCAGCAAUGCGCUUGGGGAGGAGGUCGCGGCCGAUUAGCUAGUUGGCGGGGUAAUGGCCCACCAAGGCGAUGAUCGGUAUCCGGCCUGAGAGGGCGCACGGACACACUGGAACUGAAACACGGUCCAGACUCCUACGGGAGGCAGCAGUGGGGAAUUUUGCGCAAUGGGGGAAACCCUGACGCAGCAACGCCGCGUGGAGGAUGAAAUAUCUUGGUAUGUAAACUCCUUUCGAUGGGGAAGAUUAUGACGGUACCCAUAGAAGAAGCCCCGGCUAACUUCGUGCCAGCAGCCGCGGUAAUACGAGGGGGGCAAGCGUUGUUCGGAUUUAUUGGGCGUAAAGGGUGCGUAGGCGGUUUGAUAAGUCUGAUGUGAAAUCUAUGGGCUCAACCCAUAGUCUGCAUUAGAAACUGUCGGGCUUGAGUAUGGGAGAGGUGAGUGGAAUUUCCGGUGUAGCGGUGAAAUGCGUAGAUAUCGGAAGGAACACCUGUGGCGAAAGCGGCUCACUGGACCAUAACUGACGCUGAUGCACGAAAGCUAGGGGAGCAAACAGGAUUAGAUACCCUAGUAGUCC
rnacentral:rRNA from 1 species